GUGAGCAGCACCUGUGUAACCUCACAGACAGGAAGAGCACCUGUGUAACCUCACAGACAGGAAGACAGUGAGCAGCACCUGUGUAACCUCACAGACAGGAAGACAGUGAGCAGCACCUGUGUAACCUCACAGACAGGAAGACAGUGUUCAACGUGCUUCAUUCAGAACAACCUUUGGUCCGACAGAAAACAACAUUCAUUCAAACCAUUAUGCAACCUCUCUGUUGGAGUUAGAGGCUGGGGACGAUGUUGACAGUGGAACACUUUGUAACCUCCGGACUAAACUGUUGCUGUUAGCAGGUACUAUGUCUUUUUGUAACACUGUCUAUGGGUUGUUUAGAACAAACAGUGGGACCUCUAAGAUGAUAGAGGGAGAGAGAGACACGGGACCAGAACAGGACAGUUCUUUUGUGUCAGUGUUUUUGGAGGAAAUGUAAAGGAUACAUUUUAUACAAAAGUGAAGCCGCUUCAAAUACCCAAAACCCCUUGUCCCCUGAGCCUUCCCAAUCCCAAACAUAUACCCAGCCCUGCCCAGCCUCUACACUCACGUCACCUGGUCUAACCUAUUCAUGACAGGAUAUACCCAGCCCUGCCCAGCCUCUACCCUCGCUUCACCUGGUCUAACCUAUUCAUGACAGGUUAUACCCAGCCCUGCCCAGCCUCUACCCUCACUUCACCUGGUCUAACCUAUUCAUGACAGGAUAUACCCAGCCCUGCCCAGCCUCUACCCUCGCUUCACCUGGUCUAACCUAUUCAUGACAGGAUAUACCCAGCCCUGCCCAGCCUCUACCCUCGCUUCACCUGGUCUAACCUAUUCAUGACAGGAUAUACCCAGCCCUGCCCAGCCUCUACCCUCGCUUCACCUGGUCUAACCUAUUCAUGACAGGAUAUACCCAGCCCUGCCCAGCCUCUACACUCACUUCACCUGGUCUAACCUAUUCAUGACAGGAUAUACCCAGCCCUGCCCAGCCUCUACCCUCACUUCACCUGGUCUAACCUAUUCAUGACAGGAUAUACCCAGCCCUGCUUAGCCUCUACACUCACGUCACCUGGUCUAACCUAUUCAUGACAGGAUAUACCCAGCCCUGCCCAGCCUCUACCCUCACUUCACCUGGUCUAACCUAUUCAUGACAGGAUAUACCCAGCCCUGCCCAGCCUCUACCCUCACUUCACCUGGUCUAACAUAUUCAUGACAGGUCUAACCUAUUCCUGACAGGUCUGGUCUAACCUAUUCCUGACAGGUCUGGUCUAACCUAUUCCUGACAGGUCUGAUCUAACCUAUUCCUGACAGGUCUGGUCUAACCUAUUCCUGACAGGUCUGGUCUAACCUAUUCAUGACAGGUCUGGUCUAACCUAUUCAUGACAGGUCUGGUCUAACCUAUUCCUGACAGGUCUGGUCUAACCUAUUCCUGACAGGUCUGGUCUAACCUAUUCAUGACAGGUCUGGUCUAACCUAUUCAUGACAGGUCUGGUCUAACCUAUUCCUGACAGGUCUAACCUAUUCAUGACAGGCCAGGUCUAACCUAUUCAUGACAGGCCAGGUCUAACCUAUUCAUGACAGGCCUGGUCUAACAUAUUCAUGACAGGCCAGGUCUAACCUAUUCAUGACAGGCCUGGUCUAACCUAUUCAUGACAGGCCAGGUCUAACCUAUUCAUGACAGGCCAGGUCUAACCUAUUCAUGACAGGCCUGGUCUAACCUAUUCAUGACAGGCCAGGUCUAAACUAUUCAUGACAGGCCAGGUCUAACCUAUUCAUGACAGGCCUGGUCUAACCUAUUCAUGACAGGCCAGGUCUAACAUAUUCAUGACAGGCCAGGUCUAACAUAUUCAUGACAGGCCAGGUCUAACCUAUUCAUGACAGGCCUGGUCUAACCUAUUCAUGACAGGCCAGGUCUAACCUAUUCAUGACAGGCCUGGUCUAACCUAUUCAUGACAGGUUUGGGUAAAUAACAGGAGAAAUGUGAUGACUAAAACACCAGAGAACUGGGGAGAAAAUAGGAGUCAACGUCAUAAACUGACUGACAUACAAUGAGUGUACAAAACAUUAAGAACACCUUCCUAAUAUUGACUUGCACCCUUUUGCCCUCAGAACAGCCUCAAUUUGUCGGGGUAUGGACUCUACAAGGUGUUGAAAGCGUUCCACGGGGAUGCAGUUGUGUCAAGUCAGCUGGAUGUCCUUUGGUUGGUUAACCAUUCUUGAUACACACGGGAAACUGUUGAGCGUGAAAAACCCAGCAACGUUGCAGUUCUUGACACAACGGUGCGCCCAGCACCUACUACCAUACCCUGUUCAAAGACACAUUUUUCUUGCCCACUCACCCUCUGAAUGUCCCACAUACACAAUCCAUGUCUCAAUUGUCUCAAGUCUUAAAAAUCCUUCUUUAACCUGUCCUUCACUGAUUGAAAUGGAUUUAACAAGUGACAUCAAUAAGGGAUAAUAGCUUUCACCUGGUCAGUCUAGGGGUGGCAGGUAGCCUAGUGGUUAGAGCGUUGGACUAGUAACCAAAAGGUUGCAAGAUCGAAUCCCUGAGCUGACAAGGUACAAAUCUGUCGUUCUGCCCCUGAACAAGGCAGUUAACCCACUGUUCCUAGGCCGUCAUUGAAAAUAAGAAUUUGUUCUUAACUGACUUGCCUAGUUAAAUAAAAGUAAAACGUAAUGGAAAGAACAGGUGUUUUUGUACACUCAUAAUGUUUUGUACACUCAGUGUAUAUGUAAAUAAAUGAAAUGUAUACACACAUUGAAAUGAAUUUCAAACCCAUUGAAGUGAAUGUAAUGUAUUUCAACACAGGGUAUUACAUUUGUAAAAAUGAAUCAAUCACUCACCACCAGCAUUUACUACAGGACUGAGUUCACGUCUCCGUGUUUCACAGCUGUGUUGUGAUUGGAUACGUUUUGCAGUUCUGGGCUCUCAUUGGAUGAUUUUGCCAGUUGUGGGCUUUCAUCUCACCCUGUGUCACUUGUUCUCAUUGAGUUAUUUGUUGUAAAUUGUCGCCAGCUGUUACUGUGUUAGACUGUCCUAUUAGGUCUCUGUUCUGUCUGUCACUCUGUCAGACUGUCCUAGCAGGACUCUGUUCUGACUGUCACUCUGUCAGACUGUCCUAGCAGGUCUCUGUUCUGACUGUCACUCUGUCAGACUGUCCUAGCAGGUCUCUGUUCUGUCUGUCACUCUGUCAGACUGUUCUAGCAGGACUCUGUUCUGUCUGUCACUCUGUCAGACUGUCCUAGCAGGUCUCUGUUCUGACUGUCACUCUGUCAGACUGUCCUAGCAGGACUCUGUUCUGACUGUCACUCUGUCAGACUGUCCUAGCAGGACUCUGUUCUGUCUGUCACUCUGUCAGACUGUCCUAGCAGGACUCUGUUCUGUCUGUCACUCUGUCAGACUGUCCUAGCAGGACUCUGUUCUGACUGUCACUCUGUCAGACUGUUCUAGCAGGUCUCUGUUCUGACUGUCACUCUGUCAGACUGUUCUAGCAGGUCUCUGUUCUGACUGUCACUCUGUCAGACUGUUCUAGCAGGACUCUGUUCUGACUGUCACUCUGUCAGACUGUCCUAGCAGGACUCUGUUCUGACUGUCACUCUGUCAGACUGAUCUAGUAGGACUCUGUUCUGACUGUCACUCUGUCAGACUGUCCUAGCAGGACUCUGUUCUGUCUGUCACUCUGUCAGACUGAUCUAGUAGGACUCUGUUCUGACUGUCACUCUGUCAGACUGUCCUAGCAGGACUCUGUUCUGUCUGUCACUCUGUCAGACUGUCCUAUUAGGUCUCUGUUCUGUCUGUCACUCUGUCAGACUGUCCUAUUAGGUCUCUGUUCUGUCUGUGACUCUGUCAGACUGUUCUAGCAGGACUCUGUUCUGACUGUCACUCUGUCAGACUGUCCUAGCAGGUCUCUGUUCUGACUGUGCUAGCAGGACUCUGUUCUGACUGUCCUAGCAGGUCUCUGUUCUGACUGUCCUAGCAGGUCUCUGUUCUGACUGUCCUAGCAGGUCUCUGUUCUGACUGUCCUAGCAGGUCUCUGUUCUGACUGUCCUAGCAGGUCUCUGUUCUGACUGUCCUAGCAGGUCUCCACAGCAUUCUGGGAGUACUGUUCUGUCUGUAAAGUCAAAUCCCCUGGUUGCUCGUUUUAUGUUUUCUAUUGUAAACAAUGAGAUGCUUUUGGAAUAAAAGUCUAAAGCAAAACAUUCCAGUUA